AGAGUUUGAUCCUGGCUCAGAACGAACGCUGGCGGCAGGCCUAACACAUGCAAGUCGAACGCCGUAGCAAUACGGAGUGGCAGACGGGUGAGUAACGCGUGGGAACCUUCCCUAUGGUUCGGAAUAGCUCAGGGAAACCUGGGGUAAUACCGGAUAAGCCCUUCGGGGGAAAGAUUUAUCGCCAUUGGGUGGGCCCGCGUAGGAUUAGCUAGUUGGUGAGGUAACGGCUCACCAAGGCGACGAUCCUUAGCUGGUCUGAGAGGAUGAUCAGCCACACUGGGACUGAGACACGGCCCAGACUCCUACGGGAGGCAGCAGUGGGGAAUAUUGGACAAUGGGCGAAAGCCUGAUCCAGCCAUGCCGCGUGAGUGACGAAGGCCUUAGGGUUGUGAAGCUCUUUUGGCGGGGAAGAUAAUGACGGUACCCGCAGAAUAAGCUCCGGCUAACUUCGUGCCAGCAGCCGCGGUAAU
rnacentral:rRNA from 1 species